UCCCCUGCUGGUGAAGAUCAGGGGUGAGUUCAUUGAAGGCAGUGGGUUUAGUCCAGAGUGAGGUGGGUGUCAGGUCAGAAUCAGGCCCAUCAGGGUAACAAUUUCUUUUCAUGCCAAAAAUCAUGUGUUCAUGUGUCCAAUUUUUAUAUUUUUAGCACCAAAAUGAAAAGUCAAAUAAAGCAGAGGACACCUGUGGCAUUCGGGCAGGCAGCGCACCACAUAGCUACCAGCCCCAGGCUUCGGGGCCAGUGUGGGAGCUCUCAGCUCUCUUGAGUUAGCUGGGGCAAACCAGGGUUGUGUUCAGCGUUCCUGUGGAGCAUCUUGUAGGCACCUCGCCCAGAGACGGACUCUGCAUCGCAGGUCCCUGCUGGACUUCCAUGCUGAGGAUCCAGCUGUAGCUGCUGUUACAGACUCUCCCUGGCAACUGAGGACCUUCUUCUGCAAGUCCCUGAAUGAAUCUGCUUCAGAACAAGAGCAGAAACAAGGUGCAGAAGUCAGCAAGCUCGUACAGAGCCGCAGGAUGCCCAGUUCCCUCAGCCUUUUCACAUUUGCCUGUAUUCCAGCCACUUCAUCAUCAUCAUCUGUUCGUCUUAGCGGAAACAGGCAGGGAGGAAGACUGCUCCGACUCUCUAGUACCUGUUAGGCUGGCACAAAAGACGUGACUCCAGGGCAGGCAGCAGGGAAGGAUCCUCACGGCCACUUGGCACCC
rnacentral:lncRNA from 1 species